UGUCUAUCUUAAAAGCACCCUUAAGUAUUGAAAGGCCUCAGUAAGGUGUCCCCAAAACAUUCUCUUCUCCAGGAUGAACAACCACAACUCUCUCAGUCUUUCUUCAUAGGAAACAUGUUUCAGACC